AUUGAACGCUGGCGGCAGGCCUAACACAUGCAAGUCGAACGAGUGGCGGACGGGUGAGUAAUGUCUGGGAAACUGCCUGAUGGAGGGGGAUAACUACUGGAAACGGUAGCUAAUACCGCAUACCAUCAGAUGUGCCCAGAUGGGAUUAGCUGGUUGGUGGGGUAACGGCUCACCAAGGCGACGAUCCCUAGCUGGUAUGAGAGGAUGACCCGCCUCACUGGACCGUGGACCCGGUCCAUCCUCCUACGGUAGGCAGCAGUGUGGAAUAUUGCACAAUGGGCGCAAGCCUGAUGCAGCCAUGCCGCGUGUAUGAAGAAGGCCUUCGGGUUGUAAAGUACUUUCAGCGGGGAUGCGUUACCCGCAGAAGAAGCACCGGCUAACGCCGGGCCAGCAGCCGCGGUAAUAC
rnacentral:rRNA from 1 species